UACAGCUAUACCAGACUGAAACAUCGGCUCUCGUUCGAUCACCAAAGGUAAGCAAAAUCGACUUUGGUCAGUACCUAGGUGGGUGACCGUCUGGGAAACCAAGUGCUGUAAG